UGCGAGGAUGGUAGAGAAUUUGCAGCAGUUCGGAACUAGAGGAGUCGAAUAUUCAUAAGGAAAUGCACGCCAUGUGAGAGCGUGUGGCAUUUGUACAAGCCCGGAGCAUGCCACCGAUGCAUGCCCUGCCUUGCACGAGGGAAGUCAUGCCGAUGUGAAUGUAGCUGGUUUUGGUCCACCAAGGCAACUGCAAUAUGACCCCUAUUCAAACAUCUACAACAUAGGGUGGAAGGAUCAUCCAAAUCUUAGGUAUAAGAAUCCGCAACAUCAAGGGUUCCGACCACAAGCACCUCCGCAAUAAUUCUUCUAGCCAUCACCUCCACCAAACCAAUCUAUUAUGGCACUAGAGGAAAUAAUGAAGAUCAUGGCUUCCCACACCAUUCAAUUUCAACAAGAUACGAGAGCGAGCAUUCAAAGCCUUGAAACCCGCAUGGAGCAAAUGGCGGCGGAUAUUUUCCAUGUCAAAGAAAGAGAGACGGGAAAAUGGCCAUCACAAUUGGAAAGGAACCCAAAGAAUGUUAGUGCCAUGACUUUACAAACCGGAAAGAUGGUGGGGGCUCCGGAACCAAUCAUCCCGAAGGACAAAGACGAGAACACCAUAGAAAAAGUAAUCGAGAAGGAAGAUGCGAAGAAAAAUAAGGUAAUUGAUAAAACUGUCACUAAAUGGAAUACUAAUCUUGCCCAUUUUCCGUCCAGGUUGGCAAAGCCGAAAAAGAUGAAAAGGUAGGAUGAGAUUUUGGAGAUUUUUUGAAAGUUCGAGCUUAAUAUACACCUAUUGGAUGCAAUCCACCAAAUUCCAAAGUACACAAAGUUCUUAAAGGAGUUGUGUACCAACAAGCGGAAGUUGAAGGGCGACGAAUGCAUCAUUGUAAGCGAUAAUGUCUUGGCACUACUCCAAAAAAAUAUUCCAACAAAGUGCGGAGACCCAGGAUGCUUUGGAGGUAAGAGGCAAUGAGGCGCUAGAAGUGAUUUUGCACAG